AACUAUUGAUUUACAAGGAAAUGCCGUGAACUAUCGAUUUACAAGGAAAUGCCAUGAACUAUUGAUUUACAAGGAAAUGCCAUGAACUAUUGAUUUACGAGGAAAUGCCAUGAACUAUUGAUUUACAAAAAAAUACCGUGAACUAUUCAUUUACAAGGAAAAGCCCUGAACUAUUGAUUUACAAGGAAAUGCCGCGAACUAUUCAUUUACAAGGAAAUGCUGUGAACUAUUCAUUUACAAGGAAAUGCCGUGAACUAUUCAUUUACAAGGAAAUGCCAUGAACUAUUGAUUUACGAGGAAAUGCCGUGAACUAUUCAAGGAAACGUUACCGCCGACUGACUCCCGCCUCAGACCAGAUUGUAGAGCUCUAGAAAACGGUGACUUAGAUCGUGCGACGGCGGAGAAAAUCCGUUUAGAGGAGAAACAGCGCGCGGCGAGACGUGAGCGACAGAAGAGUGACCAAGAGUGGGCACCAAGGUG